GCUACCCUGGGGAGGAGGAACUUCUCAUCUGGCCUUGCUAAGGGAUCUCUCCUGGCUCAUCAGAAACCAUGCCCAGAAGCAAGGCCAGGGUGAGAGCAGGAGGAAGGGAUUCACUCUUCCCCAAAUAUUCCCUGCAUCCCAAGGCUGUACCAAGCAUGGGGUGCAUGGCAACGACCACAACUGGAGGCAAAUGCCUGGGAGAAGAGAAGACACACAGAAAGCUAUGACAUCAGACAAAGGGGCAGGUGCCCCCCGAAAGAUGUCACCAUGCAAAAAACUUGAGAAGCAAAGGAAGAAAAAAAUAAUUCUUUUUGUGGGAGUUGAGGGGAAGGCUUCAUGGAAUGCUGGCUUUUCCCCAAGUCCUUGAGGAAUAAACAAGUCCUUGAGGAAUAAACAGGAGCUCAAUAAAUAGGUGAACGAGGAAAAGGGCAGAAUGAGCAGCAUAAGGAAUGGCUGGAUGUGCAGGGGCUGCUGCUGUACCGCAGAUGUCAAAAAGUGAAGUGAAAGGAGAAAAUGAUUCAGGGGGAAGCCAGCUGCCAUGUCUUGAGGACCCUCAAGCAGCCCUAUGGAGGGUCCACAGGGAGAAGAACUGAGGCCUCCUGCCGAUAACCAGCCCUGACUUGCCAGCGUGAGUGACCUCAGAAGCAGAUCCACCCGCCUCAAUCAAUCCUUCAUAUGACCGUGGCCCCAGCUCUCAUCUCGCUGCAGCCUCACGAGAGGCUCUGAUCCAGAACCACCAGACUAGUCUGCUCCCUUAUUUCUGACACUCAGAAAUUAUGUGAGAUAAUAAAUAUUUGUUGUUUUAAGUUGCUGA